rnacentral:rRNA from 1 species
GUCCACGCCGUAAACGAUGGGUGCUAGAUGUCACGGGCAUUGACUCUCGUGGUGUCGCAGCUAACGCACUAAGCACCCCGCCUGGGAAGUACGGCCGCAAGGCUAAAACUCAAAGGAAUUGACGGGGGCCCGCACAAGCGGUGGAGCAUGUGGUUUAAUUCGACGCAACGCGAAGAACCUUACCUGGGCUAGAAAGUGUGCGAACCUGGAAGAAAUUUCGGGGUGCUCUUCGGAGAACGCACGGUUAGGUGCUGCAUGGCUGUCGU